rnacentral:rRNA from 1 species
AAAUUACCGGUUCUCGUUAGAUCACCGUAAGCCAAGCAUCAUUGGGCGCGGCCAGUACUUGGGUGGGUGACCACCUGAAGAACACCGCGUGCCGUU